CGCUUCUCGUCCGGCGUGGGGUAGCGGUUGCCGCGGUAGCAGGCCUUGAGCGCGGCGCGGGAGCGCUCCUUGAAGCAGUAGACCGUCUCCUCGCCGUCCCAGAUGGUCUUGGGCAGCGGGAACUUCUUGCGCAGCCGUCUGCAGGAGCUGGCGCGCUUCCUCCUCCUCCUCUUCGGUCGCCGCCGCCGCCACCGCCUCCCCCCCGGCCGCCGGCCCCGCGCUCGGCUCCGCAGGCAAGCUCUCCGCCAAGCCAUUGGCCGCUUCCACUCGUCUUCUGAUUGGCCCACUGAAUAGCCUCUGGCCCAACUGAGAAGACAGCAAAGACGCGGCGGAGCCCUGGGCUUUGGGCAGACGAGAGGACCUUUAAUUCGCGAGGGACGGGGGUGGGGUCCUGGGUGGGGACAGACAAUAAAUACUGAGGAAUGUCGGGGUCUCAGUGCAUCCAAAACGUGGAUUAAGGUGCAGGGGUCCUGUUCGGCGGGCCGGAGGACAAUGUCAAUAAAUAGCCAAACCGCCGAGAGCGGCGGAGCCGGCUGUGGCUCCGAGAGCAGCACACGUGAGGAGGAAGGCGAGGGAGUCCCCGAAAAAGCGGGGCUGGCAAAAGCAGAAGGUUUUCGAGAGAUGGGCAGAAGUCGCGCUGGACAUUCGGCGCGGGAACAGGACGUUCCCCGGAGGAGGGCCUCAUGCACAAGGAUUUGUGUUUUGGGAGCCCAAGUGCGUGGGUGCGUGCAGGGGAAAGACGGAUGGCCGCGCCCCAGCCUGCCGCCUUCUCGGGGCUGCAGGUUGCCCAUCCACGCCGGGGCCUCUGCCCGACCUGAGGAAAGAAGUGGUCCACAUUCCCCCAGCAGCAGCAUUCCCGACUACUCGCCCUCCACGAGCCCCGCCGCCGUCCGCAGACCUGGCUCCUUCCUCCCCGGCCGCCAGGGGGCGGGCCCGGAUCACAGGACUGGAGCAGGUGCGAACUCCGCUG